GAGAAGAAGAUGGAAGGACGAUCUCUGUUCGUGAGAAGAUGAGCCCGCCAGAAUUUGCAGAAUAGCGGCUGUGAUUUUUGAGGUGGGGUCGAGGGAGGGCCGACGGUUGUAGGGGCAGGCGGCACCUGCGUAUGGUGGCGGGCGGCUGGUGGGGGGAAUUGAAAUUAGGGUUUGGGAGUGGGGAAGGUUGGGGAAGAUGAUGAUGUGGGUUUUAUUUUCUUUUUCUUUUUAAAUUUUUUUUCCACAUGUCAAAAAUAUGUCUAGCUGCCAAUUCUGGCUGCCACAUAUCAAUUCUGGUUGCCACUGUGUCAUUUCUAACGUCAGCGUAAGAAAAAACCGGUCACCGGAUAAAUUCG
rnacentral:lncRNA from 1 species